rnacentral:rRNA from 1 species
UACGGAGGGUGCAAGCGUUGUCCGGAAUCACUGGGCGUAAAGCGUGCGCAGGCGGUUUUGUAAGUCAGCUGUGAAAUCCCCGGGCUCAACCUGGGAAUGGCAGUUGAGACUGCAAGGCUAGAGUGUGUCAGAGGGGGGUAGAAUUCCACGUGUAGCAGUGAAAUGCGUAGAGAUGUGGAGGAAUACCGAUGGCGAAGGCAGCCCCCUGGGAUAACACUGACGCUCAUGCACGAAAGCGUGGGGAGCAAACAGG